UUUUAGCUAGUUUGUAUAAUUGGUGUAAUAUCUAUAGUUCAAAAUUUGAUAUUUUUUGAAUUAUUAGGUGUGCUAAGUUUAUACAAAAUUUUGUAAUAAUCCAAGGAUCUAGUUUAGAGAUAUCUAGUUUUUUGUACAAAAAGAUUUUGGAAGUUGGUAGUUUGAGGUUGGGUAGGAUUUCUAUGAUAUCUAGAGAUCUACUAGUUGAAUCAAAGUGAAAUUUGGCAUGGUAUUGAAGGACUUAAAGGUCAAGGUGCAUACCAAUUUUGAGUUGAAGCAAAUAGUUGGAGAAGGAGAAAUUACUACUUGAACUUUUUGCUUCACCUCUCAAGUUGUCAGCUAAGUGACAUCAAUAUAGUUUUUUGGAAGUUCUUUCACAAUCUAAAAGUUGGAUUGGGCUGAAAUUUCUUAAGCAUGAAGAAGACUUACAUAGACAAUUUUAUGCAAAAUUUCACAUCAAGUGAAUAGUCAAAUUAGAAGUUACAACUUAUCAAAAUUCACUAAUUAGAGUUAGGAUGUAGAAGAAAAAUCUAAAUUGCUUAAAUAUGAAAGUAAUUAGGUAAUAGAGAUUUACAUAUGAUUAAGGCUACUAAGAAGAGUGUUUUUUAGCACUUUUGAAUUGAAAUUCAGAUUAUAUUCUUCUCAUGUGGGUGAAACCUAUUAGGAUUUCUUGGAUACUU
rnacentral:lncRNA from 1 species